ACACUUACCUGACAGGGGAGGUAUCAUGUUUUUAAAGGUGGUUUUCCCAGGGAAAGGCUUAUCUAUCGCAUUCUUAAUGUGCUGACCCCUGCAAUUUCCCCAAAUGUGGGAAACUUUCCUCACACUUUCC
rnacentral:snRNA from 1 species